rnacentral:rRNA from 1 species
GAUGAACGCUGGCGGCGUGCCUAAUACAUGCAAGUCGAGCGAACAGAUGAGGAGCUUGCUCCUCUGACGUUAGCGGCGGACGGGUGAGUAACACGUGGAUAACCUACCUAUAAGACUGGGAUAACUUCGGGAAACCGGAGCUAAUACCGGAUAAUAUAUUGAACCGCAUGGUUCAAUAGUGAAAGACGGUUUUGCUGUCACUUAUAGAUGGAUCCGCGCCGCAUUAGCUAGUUGGUAAGGUAACGGCUUACCAAGGCAACGAUGCGUAGCCGACCUGAGAGGGUGAUCGGCCACACUGGAACUGAGACACGGUCCAGACUCCUACGGGAGGCAGCAGUAGGGAAUCUUCCGCAAUGGGCGAAAGCCUGACGGAGCAACGCCGCGUGAGUGAUGAAGGUCUUCGGAUCGUAAAACUCUGUUAUUAGGGAAGAACAAAUGUGUAAGUAACUAUGCACGUCUUGACGGUACCUAUUCAGAAAGCCACGGCUAACUACGUG